rnacentral:rRNA from 1 species
GAUGAACGCUGGCGGCGUGCCUAAUACAUGCAAGUCGAGCGAACAGACGAGGAGCUUGCUCCUCUGACGUUAGCGGCGGACGGGUGAGUAACACGUGGAUAACCUACCUAUAAGACUGGGAUAACUUCGGGAAACCGGAGCUAAUACCGGAUAAUAUAUUGAACCGCAUGGUUCAAUAGUGAAAGACGGUUUUGCUGUCACUUAUAGAUGGAUCCGCGCCGCAUUAGCUAGUUGGUAAGGUAACGGCUUACCAAGGCAACGAUGCGUAGCCGACCUGAGAGGGUGAUCAGCCACACUGGAACUGGGACACGGUCCAGACUCCUACGGGGCGCAACAGUAGGGAAUCUUCCGCAAAGGGCGAAAACCUGACGGAGCAACGCCGCGUGAAUGAUGAAAAUCUUCGGGUCGUAAAACUCUGUUGUUAGGGAAAAACAAAUGUGUAAGUAACUAUGCACGUCUUGACGGUACCUAAUGAGAAAACCACGGCUAACUACGUG